rnacentral:rRNA from 1 species
UUGGAGGGCGUUUACCACGGUAUGAUUCAUGACUGGGGUGAAGUCGUAACAAGGUAACCGUAGGGGAACCUGCGGUUGGAUCACCUCCUUACUGA